AGCGAGACCAGAUGGGCCCGAGAAAGGCGCCAGUCUUCCAAGGCCAAGAGCUCCAGCUGAGUGCGAAGGACGAUUUGGAUGAGCUGGUUCAAAAUAUAGCCCCAGGAUUAAAAAGCUUUGAGUUGGACACUCUCAGCCACCACUACAAUGUUUCCUUGAACAGACACCUCUACUCUGAGACCUCCUCUGCUGUGACUUCUGGGGCCAUUUUUGGAAGUUAGAAGCCAGAAACCAACUUUUCCAAUUCAAAAAUGCUGUACAAGAAUUCAAAAUCAUGAUGUCACAAAAGGAUGAAGAAAGCUGGCUUUGAGAUUCAAAACUGAGAAGAGACCCCAUUUAUCUAGGUGAAUUUUUCUUUCCUAGAAGUAAUGAAUGUCACUGAUUCAGUGUGUACUGAGCCACGGGGCAAAGAGUUUAUGAAGAAUUAAAUAUUCAUUGGUUUCACUGGCCAAAAGUACUAUCUUCAUUAGAGUUAUCAAAGUAUAUUGAAUCAGGAAA